UACGGGGGGGGCAAGCGUUGUUCGGAAUCACUGGGCGUAAAGGGCGCGUAGGCGGCUUUAUAAGUCGGGGGUGAAAGCCUGUGGCUCAACCACAGAAUUGCCUUCGAUACUGUAGAGCUUGAGACCGGAAGAGGUAAGUGGAACUGCGAGUGUAGAGGUGAAAUUUGUAGAUAUUCGCAAGAACACCAGUGGCGAAGGCGGCUUACUGGUCCGGUUCUGACGCUGAGGCGCGAAAGCGUGGGGAGCAAACAGG
rnacentral:rRNA from 1 species